rnacentral:misc_RNA from 1 species
GGCGAGUGCUCUUGAAGUACUUGAUGGCCCUGAUAGCUCUAUCAUCUACGUGCUUCAGUUCGGAUAGCAAGGUACUGGUAUUUAAUCUUGGCUUGUAUUUUGCAAGUAUCUUAGCCUCUACAGAUGAGUGGACAUGAGACUUGUGGGUUCCAUUGAGUGGUUUUUUGCUUUUGUCAUAGGAAUUUGCAAGUACUGAUAUCAUUCUGCGUAGCAAAUUCCUUCUGAAUAGGAAGAUCGCAUGAACUCCUUUUUUCUUGAAAUACUCCGCUAUACCUUCGUGAUGUUCCAG